GAGUUUGACCCUGGCUCAGGAUGAACGCUAGCUACAGGCUUAACACAUGCAAGUCGAGGGGCAGCAUGAACUUAGCUUGCUAAGUUUGAUGGCGACCGGCGCACGGGUGAGUAACACGUAUCCAACCUUCCGUUUACUCAGGGAUAGCCUUUCGAAAGAAAGAUUAAUACCUGAUAGUAUGGUGAGAUUGCAUGAUAGCACCAUUAAAGAUUUAUCGGUGUACGAUGGGGAUGCGUUCCAUUAGGUAGUAGGCGGGGUAACGGCCCACCUAGCCAACGAUGGAUAGGGGUUCUGAGAGGAAGGUCCCCCACAUUGGAACUGAGACACGGUCCAAACUCCUACGGGAGGCAGCAGUGAGGAAUAUUGGUCAAUGGACGAGAGUCUGAACCAGCCAAGUAGCGUGAAGGAUGAAGGUCCUACGGAUUGUAAACUUCUUUUAUAAGGGAAUAAACCCUCCCACGUGUGGGAGCUUGUAUGUACCUUAUGAAUAAGCAUCGGCUAACUCCGUGCCAGCAGCCGCGGUAAUACGGAGGAUGCGAGCGUUAUCCGGAUUUAUUGGGUUUAAAGGGAGCGCAGACGGGUCGUUAAGUCAGCUGUGAAAGUUUGGGGCUCAACCUUAAAAUUGCAGUUGAUACUGGCGUCCUUGAGUGCGGUUGAGGUGUGCGGAAUUCGUGGUGUAGCGGUGAAAUGCUUAGAUAUCACGAAGAACUCCGAUUGCGAAGGCAGCACACUAAUCCGUAACUGACGUUCAUGCUCGAAAGUGUGGGUAUCAAACAGGAUUAGAUACCCUGGUAGUCCACACGGUAAACGAUGGAUACUCGCUGUUGGCGAUAUACUGUCAGCGGCUUAGCGAAAGCGUUAAGUAUCCCACCUGGGGAGUACGCCGGCAACGGUGAAACUCAAAUGAAUUGACG
rnacentral:rRNA from 1 species